rnacentral:lncRNA from 1 species
AUGUCUGGACCGCACAGGGGCUGUGCUCCUAGAGGGGCCGCCCAGCCUCCCACCCGGACGUUCUCCUGGCGCCCGGCUCCAAGCGGAGCGCAAGUUUGCGGACACUACCGGGGAUCUGGAGGGCUCUCGACCUCUGCGGAGAACUGCAGUGAGCUUUCAGGGAGUGCGAGGCACCCUGAGAGGCCAACCGGUCCCCGGCUGUUCCCCAGCGAGGUUGGCACAGCUGCAAGGAAAUGCCGCAGCCACACGCUAAACGAGUCACACGGAAACGAGCCAUCCGGGCUGAAAAAAGGAUGUUCAGUGUGGCUUUAAAAAGUAGAACCAGGCCUGCGAUCACCCGGCGGCGUGCACACGAGCUCCCGGCCUGCGCGGGAGGCCCCGGCCUGUGCGACAACAGACCAGGAAGGCCCCA